UACAGAGGUCUCAAGCGUUGUUCGGAUUCAUUGGGCGUAAAGGGUGCGUAGGCGGCGCGGUAAGUCGGGUGUGAAAAUCUCGGAGCUUAACUCCGAAACUGCAUUCGAUACUGCCGUGCUUGAGGACUGGAGAGGAGACUGGAAUUUACGGUGUAGCGGUGAAAUGCGUAGAUAUCGUAAGGAAGACCAGUGGCGAAGGCGGGUCUCUGGGCAGUUCCUGACGCUGAGGCACGAAGGCCAGGGGAGCAAACGGG
rnacentral:rRNA from 1 species